rnacentral:rRNA from 1 species
UAUGGUCACACCACUAUGAAUGUGUCCAAUGUCAUCUGAUCUCAGAAGCUAAGCAUAGUUGGGCCUGGUUAGCACUUGGAUGAGAGAAAGUCAGGUUUUCUCUAUGU